AAAAUAAAAAAGAAUCCACUCAGGGGAGUGGCACAACAGAGGUUUAACGCGCAUCCUGCCAGAGCUUGUUCGGUCAUUGAGCGGGCUUUUGGCAUGGUGAAGACGAGGUGGAGGUCCAUCUUUUUCUGUGCCUUGGAGGUGGACGUCUCAUUUGUGCCAGAUGUCAUUGUGUGUUGCACUAUGCUUCACAAUGUAUGUCUGGGCAAUGAUGAUGUCCUACCGGUGGAUGAGGAGGACCCUGAAGAGCCCGUCGGGGGAGAGGACCAUGUCGAAACAUCAAGUUGUGGUGCCCUGCGAGACAGCAUUGCAGAUCAGCUGUCCGCACUUCAGUGUCUUUCUACGGGACACGAUUAUUGUUGAUAAAUUGUUGUAUGGUUCUUUGAUUAAUAAAUUGUUAUAUAGUUCUUUGAUUGAUACAUUGUUAUAUAGUUCUUUGAUUGAUACAUUGUUAUAUAGUUCUUUGAUUAUAACACAAGGGUUAAUUAAGUUAUAACACCGUUCAUGUCGUUGCAGGAACACGCACAGGAGACUGAAACACCGCACUCACUCCACCCACCCUACUCACUACACUCACUCACACAGAAAUGACCAAGGAGGGUGGUCGCUCCCUGAGCCUGGGCCCUCCCGAGGUUUCUUCCUACAUGGGAGUUUUCCCUCGUCACUGUUGCCCUUGUGCUUGCUUGGGGAGCUUUCCAUUAAAAUACACUUAUUUUAACUGAA